rnacentral:lncRNA from 1 species
GGAGCGAUGCCCAUGACAGAGGCCUUGUGAGUCUGCCUCCCCUCCUCCUCCUCUGCCUGGUGUUUCCGCUGCUCCUCCCCAGUGAGACCCCACAGCUCCCUUUCCAGAGCUGGAGACCUGGGGAAUGACGGCGCCCUGGGAACACCGAGCCACAUAGCACUGUUGCCUCUGCUUUCCCCAUCUUGUCCACAGAUGCUCCUCUUCAUCUGAGUGUACGCGUAGCUCACUGUGACAACAGCUCAGCUGCCCCCUGCGUGGCCCUCGCUGACUGCCAGCGCUGCCCACAGAUGGACCAACUUUCACAGCAGUGGUCAGAGGCAAAGGCGAUUUUGGAUCCCCCUGCUAUAGCUAAGGAGGCACAGAGAGGUCGAUCCGUUCGCCCGAAGUCACACAGCUCUUACACGGCAGCCUGGCUUCGUCGCCCGAGCUCUGGUCGGUAGGCAGAAUCCUGUCAUACCUCGGAUUUUGGUGCCUUCAGUCUGAAAAAUACACACAUCCAUUUGGUACCCUAGAGGAACUGGAGAAUUGUCUUCCCCUGAAUGAAGCUGGACCAUUCUGGGAUUUGGAGAAAGGGCCAGGCAGGCAACUCGUGAGCGAGUGAUGUGGAUCUGGUGGGCAGACCGCAGAGGUUGGUGGGGAACUCGAAGGAACCAGGACGCCCGCUGUGAUGUACUGGCCUGGGUGCCCCGCUCAGGCUCCCCGAAGCCCCCAGGAACCCCCGCAGCCUGGCUCUCGGCCGACCCUCUUCGGGACACCAGUGUCAUGUUGCGUUCACUGAUCCGUAUGAUGGCAUGUCCGGCACCACCAGUGACGGCAGGUUCGCUGCUCCGUGUGAUGACGCCUUCCCCGCUCCACGGAGUGCUAGCCUGCGUGUUCGUCGUGCUGAGAGGUCACAGAGGGAAAGGGAGCCUUGGAGCAAUGCCCCGGGGGAUAGAGGCCAGAAUGUUCCAGGUGGAAAAAAUCUGUGCUCCAGGUGGUGACAGCAGUGAAAUCUGGCCACACCAGGGAGUGUCUGCUGCGGGGAGCCUCGGCCAGGCCACCGUCGGGCCUCCCUCCAGCCUGCUGGGCAGUAGCCCCCCUUCCCACGUCCACGCUCCGUGGGCCGCGGUGAGUGUGUUAGCCAGGACGUUACACAUGAGAAAGCUUGACGUCGGCUGGGCGACGAGUUGGUGUUGCUGCCUGCAGUUCAGCCCCCCACCCCCACCCCUCCGCCCCCUGAACAUUCUCUGGCUGUGA